rnacentral:ncRNA from 1 species
UUAGUGUGUAAGUGUAGAUGAGUUGCAAACUUGCAACUGCUGUGGUAAUAAUGAACUGGUAGUAGAAAGCAUCGUUCCCAGGUCGGGUCUGAGCGUUCGCGACCGCGUUUCCGUGCGUCGUCGCGUUCCCGCUCCGACUCAGGUGUAUCUGGCGGUCGGGGACCCGAAAGAUGGCAAUCCAUGCCCGGUCGGGACGAAGCCAGAGGAAAUUCUGGUGGAAGUCCGAAGCGCCUCUGACGUGCAAAUCGAUCAUCGGAGCCGGGUUUAGGGGCGAAAGACCAAUCGAGCCGUCUAGUAGCUGGUUCCCUCCGAAGUUUCCCUCAGGAUAGCUGGCGCCAGCGGGAGAACUACACGCAAUUCCGUCCGGUAAAGCGAACGACUGGAGGACCCGGGGACGUUGACGGCCUCGAUCUACUC